rnacentral:tRNA from 2 species
GGGCCCGUAGCUCAGUCAGGACAGAGCGGCGGGCUUUUAACCCGUAGGUCCCGGGUUCGAAUCCCGGCGGGCCCGCCA